rnacentral:tRNA from 1 species
GGCUCCGUAGCUCCAAUGGCUAGAGCGCCCGGAGUAAUGACCCGGGAGGUUGCGGGUUCAACCCCCGCCGGAGUCA